rnacentral:rRNA from 1 species
UACAGAGGGUGCAAGCGUUAAUCGGAAUGACUGGGCGUAAAGAGCGCGUAGGUGGUUAUAUAAGUCAGAUGUGAAAGACCUGGGCUUAACCUGGGGGCGUCAUUUGAUACUGUAUGACUGGAGUACGGGAGAGGAAGGUGGAAUUUCCGGUGUAGCGGUGAAAUGCGUAGAGAUCGGAAAGAACACCGGUGGCGAAGGCGGCCUUCUGGCCUGAUACUGACACUGAGGCGCGAAAGCGUGGGGAGCAAAC